UACAGAGGAGCCAAGCGUUGUCCGAAGUUACUGGGCGUAAAGCGCGCGUAGGCGGGUUGGUAAGUCCGCUGUGAAAGCCCGGAGCUCAACUCCGGAGGGUCGGUGGAUACUGCCAGUCUUGAAGGUGCUAGGGGGAGAUGGAAUUACCGGUGUAGCGGUGAAAUGCGUAGAUAUCGGUAGGAACACCAGUGGCGAAGGCGGUCUCCUGGGGCAUUCUUGACGCUGAGGCGCGAAAGCUGGGGGAGCGAACGGG
rnacentral:rRNA from 1 species